UACAGAGGUCCCAAGCGUUGUUCGGAUUCACUGGGCGUAAAGGGUGCGCAGGUGGGUUGGCAAGUUUGAUGUGAAAGCCCCGGGCUUAACCCGGGAAUGGCAUUGAAUACUGCUGAUCUGGAGGAUUGGAGGGGGGACUGGAAUUCUUGGUGUAGCAGUGAAAUGCGUAGAUAUCAAGAGGAACACCAGUGGCGAAGGCGAGUCCCUGGACAAUACCUGACACUGAGGCACGAAAGCGUGGGGAGCAAACAGG
rnacentral:rRNA from 1 species